rnacentral:rRNA from 1 species
UACGGAGGGUGCAAGCGUUAUCCGGAUUCACUGGGUUUAAAGGGUGUGUAGGCGGAUACUUAAGUCAGUGGUGAAAUCUCCAGGCUCAACCUGGAAACUGCCAUUGAAACUAUUUGUCUUGAGUACAUUUGAGGCGGGCGGAAUGUGUCAUGUAGAGGUGAAAUUCUUAGAUAUGACACAGAACACCAAUUGCGAAGGCAGCUCGCUAAACUGUAACUGACGCUGAGGCACGAAAGCGUGGGUAGCAAACAGG